rnacentral:rRNA from 1 species
AUUGAACGCUGGCGGCAUGCCUUACACAUGCAAAUCGAACGGUAACGGGCCUUCGGGUGCCGACGAGUGGCGAACGGGUGAGUAAUACAUCGGAACGUGCCCGAUCGUGGGGGAUAACGAGGCGAAAGCUUUGCUAAUACCGCAUACGAUCUACGGAUGAAAGCAGGGGACCGCAAGGCCUUGCGCGGACGGAGCGGCCGAUGGCAGAUUAGGUAGUUGGUGGGGUAAAAGCUUACCAAGCCGACGAUCUGUAGCUGGUCUGAGAGGAUGAUCAGCCACACUGGGACUGAGACACGGCCCAGACUCCUACGGGAGGCAGCAGUGGGGAAUUUUGGACAAUGGGCGCAAGCCUGAUCCAGCCAUGCCGCGUGCAGGAUGAAGGCCUUCGGGUUGUAAACUGAUUUUGUACGGAACGAAAAGCCUUCUUUUAAUACAGGAGGGUCAUGACGGUACCGUAAGAAUAAGCACCGGCUAACUACGU